ensembl:lncRNA
AGAGAAGCAGGUUCAAUUCCUGGGUCGGGAAGAUGCCCUGGAAGAGGAAAUGGCAACCCACUCCGGUAAGCUUGCCUGGAGAAGCCCAUGGACAGAGGAGCCUGGCGGGCUACGGUCCAUACAAUCACAAAGAGUUGGAGACGACUGAAGCAACUUAGCGUGGGAGUUUUUAAAGAGCUCCUCAGAUGACUCUAGUCCUUAGCCAGGGGCUUCCCAGGUGAUGCUGGAGGUAAAGAACCCGUCUGCUAAUGCAGGAGACGUAAGAGAUACAGGUUCGAUCCCUGGGUUCAGGAAGAUCUUCUGGAGGAGGAAAUAGAAGUUUUGGUUUUAUAUUAUAUUUAGAGUCCUCUGAAAAAGGAACUAGGAAGCCCUUCUUGAGGGACAUAGAAGUAUGGACAGAUAUCAGUUGCCUGGAUAUCUCCAAGUCUAUUCCCUGAUCAGUCACUGUACUUCAUGUGAGUUAAAACAAUGGCAUGAUCUCAUAUCCCAUUCCAAGAAGGCAAUGGCACCCCACUCCAGUACUCUUGCCUGGAAAAUCCCAUGGACGGAGGAGCCUGGGAGGCUGCAAUCCAUGGGGUCACUAAGAGUUGGACACAACUGAGCGACUUCACUUUCAUGAAUUGGAGAAGGAAAUGGAAACCCACUCCAGUGUUCUUGCCUGGAGAAUCCCUGGGACGGGGGAGCCUGGUGGGCUGCCGUCUAUGGGGUCGCACAGAGUCGGAUACGACUGAAGCAACUUAGCAGCAGCAGCAACUGCUCAGGGGGACCUUUUCGUUUACCAACUUAUUUAAAAUUGCUACUCCCAUCAUUCCAUAUCCUUCCUUCCUUGAUUUAUUUUUCGUUAUAGAACUUUCCAUCCUCUAACAUAAUAUGUAUCCAUUUUGUUCUCACGACUAAAAUAUAAACUUCGUGCUGAGCAUUUUUGCUUUUUUUUUUAAUCAGUAUUAUAUUGCCUGAAACACUGUUCAGCAUCAGCGAUUCACAUUAAUGUGCCUGGAAUGGUUGCAUAGGGUCCCAAACUCAGAGGGGCCCCCUAACUUGGACAACUUGACAACUUGCAGUUGUCAUCUUGGAAUGUUAUUCCUGAGCAUAAUUCUUAUUGAUUUUCUCUUUGAAUUUUUAUUGUA